rnacentral:rRNA from 1 species
ACGGAAGGCAGCAGUGGGGGAUAUUGCACAAUGGGGGAAACCCUGAUGCAGCGACGCCGCGUGAGCGAAGAAGUAUUUCGGUAUGUAAAGCUCUAUCAGCAGGGAAGAAAAUGACGGUACCUGACUAAGAAGCCCCGGCUAACUACGUGCCAGCAGCCGCGGUAAUACGUAGGGGGCAAGCGUUAUCCGGAUUUACUGGGUGUAAAGGGAGCGUAGACGGCGAGGCAAGUCUGAUGUGAAAGCUCGGGGCUCAACCCCGGAACUGCAUUGGAAACUGUUUUGCUAGAGUGUCGGAGAGGUAAGCGGAAUUCCUAGUGUAGCGGUGAAAUGCGUAGAUAUUAGGAGGAACACCAGUGGCGAAGGCGGCUUACUGGACUGUAACUGACGUUGAGGCUCGAAGGCGUGGGGAGCAAACAGGAUUAGAUACCCUGGUA